AGCGACUGUCCAGGUUACCGCGGCUGCUGGCACGGAGUUAGCCGGUGCUUCUUCUGUGAGUGAUGUCCUUCCUGCCGGCUAUUAACCCGCAGGCCUUCUUCCUCACUGAAAGUGCUUUACAACCCGAAGGCCUUCUUCACACACGCGGCAUGGCUGGAUCAGGGUUGCCCCGAUUGUCCAACUAUUCCCACUGCUGCCUCCGUACGGAGUCUGGGCCGUGUCUCAGUCCCAGUGUGGCUGAUCAUCCUCUCAGACCAGCUACGG
rnacentral:rRNA from 1 species